rnacentral:rRNA from 1 species
GGCGCACGGGUGCGUAACGCGUAUGCAACCUACCUAUCAGUGGGGAAUAGCCCGGGGAAACCCGGAUUAAUACCGCAUAAGAUCAAAGAGUGGCAUCACUUUUUGCUGAAACAUUUAUGGCUGACAGAUGGGCAUGCGUUAGAUUAGCUAGUUGGUAGUGUAAGGGACUACCAAGGCAAUGAUCUAUAGGGGUUCUGAGAGGAAGAUCCCCCACACUGGUACUGAGAUACGGACCAGACUCCUACGGGAGGCAGCAGUAGGGAAUAUUGGGCAAUGCCCGCAAGGGUGACCCAGCCAUGCCGCGUGCAGGAAGAAGGCCUUCUGGGUUGUAAACUGCUUUUGGAAGGGAACAAAACGGCUCUGCGGAGCAACUUGAGUGUACCUUCAGAAUAAGCACCGGCUAACUCCGUGCCAGCCGCCGCGG